AGGUUUGGGAUUACACUGGUUUUGGAUAUACAAGGUACAAUACCAGAGACAUUAACAAAGAAAUACUAGGGUGUGUUGUGGAGAAUAAAGUGCUUCAUAGAUCUUUAUUAUCAUGCUUACAGGUACUUAAAUGUUGGAAAAUGUUUGUUUUUUACAUAUAUAAGAAAGCUAAUAAUUACAAUGUCAUGCAUGGUUAUGCCUCUAUUGGUAACAGCAAGGAAUAAUAUUUGAGAGAAUGAAGAGAAGAAAUGAAAAGGCAAAAAAGAAAAACAAAAAUGAAGAAUGCAGUGCUUAUAUUUCUGGUAAAUAAUUUAAAUAAGGUAGCUUAAUUGCCACACAUCAGAACUAGAG